AUGUGGCACUUUUUCAUUCUGUGCCUCUGUGUACGCAUGGCCUCUGUGACUACAGAUUCCAUGGUAACUUUGCUGGAGCAGAAACCUAGGUGGGCUCUGGUACGUCGUGGUCAAGCUGUGACCCUGCGCUGUAUCUUGAAGAAUUCUCAGUACCCCUGGAUGAGCUGGUACCAGCAGGAUCUCCAACAGCAACUACAGUGGCUAGUCUCUCUGCGGAGUUCUGGGGACAAAGAGGCCAAAUCUCUCCCCGGUGCUGAUUAUCUGGCCACACGAGUCACUGAUACAGAGCUGAGGCUCCAAGUGGCCAACAUGACCCAGGGCAGAACUUUGCUCUGCACCUGCAGUACAGACACAGUGACUUCCCCAUCCCUUUGCCUUAGCAAGAAGUGGACUCUCCUGGUUAUCCUUGUUCUUUUCCUGCCUGAGCCAUACCGUAACUUAACCUCAGGUUCCCACGAGCUCAGAGCACAGACUUUCGGGCUUCCAUCGGUGAGCUUGGAAGACGUCCUUUAUCCUCCUACACUUCUGUUUCUGAUUCUGUUGGAUGGAGGCAGCAAAUGUGGCCAUCCCAGAAGGCAGCUGUGA